rnacentral:rRNA from 1 species
UACAGAGGUCCCGAGCGUUGUUCGGAUUCACUGGGCGUAAAGGGUGCGUAGGCGGUUCUGAAAGUCUGAUGUGAAAUCUCCGGGCCCAACCCGGAAAUGGCAUUAGAAACUGCAGGGCUAGAGGCUUGGAGGGGGAACUGGAAUGCUCGGUGUAGCAGUGAAAUGCGUAGAGAUCGAGCGGAACACCAGUGGCGAAGGCGAGUUCCUGGACAAGACCUGACGCUGAGGCACGAAAGCCGGGGGAGCAAACAGG